GAUGAAGAACGCAGCGAAAUGCGACAAGUAAUGUGAAUUGCAGAAUUCAGUGAAUCAUCGAGUCUUUGAACGCACAUUGCGCCCCCUGGUAUUCCGGGGGGCAUGCCUGUCCGAGCGUCAUUGCUGCCCUCAAGCACGGCUUGUGUGUUGGGCCUCCGUCCUCCUCCCGGGGGACGGGCCCGAAAGGCAGCGGCGGCACCGCGUCCGGUCCUCGAGCGUAUGGGGCUUCGUCACCCGCUCUUGUAGGCCCGGCCGGCGCUUGCCGACACAUCAAUCUUUUUUCCAGGUUGACCUCGGAUCAGGUAGGGAUACCCGCUGAACUUAAGCAUAUCAAUAAGCGGAGGA
rnacentral:misc_RNA from 1 species